GACGAACGCUGGCGGCGUGCCUAAUACAUGCCAGUUGAGCGCUGAAGGUUGGUACUUGUACCAACUGGAUGAGCAGCGAACGGGUGAGUAACGCGUGGGGAAUCUGCCUUUGAGCGGGGGACAACAUUUGGAAACGAAUGCUAAUACCGCAUAAAAACUUUAAACACAAGUUUUAAGUUUGAAAGAUGCAAUUGCAUCACUCAAAGAUGAUCCCGCGUUGUAUUAGCUAGUUGGUGAGGUAAAGGCUCACCAAGGCGAGGAUACAUAGCCGACCUGAGGGGGUGAUCGGCCCCAUUGGGACUGAGACCCGGCCCAAACCUCUACGGGAGGCAGCAGGAGGGAAACUUCGGCAAUGGACGGAAGGCUGACCGCGCCACGCCGCGGGAGGGAAGAAGGUUUUCGGAUCGGAAAACUCUGUUGGUAGGGAAGAACGUUGGUGAGAGUGGAAAGCUCAUCAAGUGACGGUAACUACACAGAAAGGGACGGCUAACUACGUG
rnacentral:rRNA from 1 species